UCUCCGUAGGUGAACCUGCGGAAGGAUCAUUAUUGUAUAACCGAGGUGCGAGGGCUGUCGCUGACCCGAAAGGUCGUGCACGCCCAAGUGCCCUCACACACAUCCAUCUCACCCCUAUGUGCACCACCGCGUGGGUCCCCCUUUGGCUUGUUCGGAGGGGGGCUUACGUUUUCACACAAACUUUGUAUGCAGUGUAGAAUGUAUUUUUUGUUUUUGCGAUCACGCAAUCAAUACAACUUUCAACAACGGAUCUCUUGGCUCUC
rnacentral:misc_RNA from 1 species